rnacentral:rRNA from 1 species
CCUACGAGUGGCAGCAGUGAGGAAUAUUGGUCAAUGGGCGCGAGCCUGAACCAGCCAAGUAGCGUGAAGGAUGACUGCCCUACGGGUUGUAAACUUCUUUUAUAAAGGAAUAAAGUGAGGCUCGUGUGCCUUUUUGUAUGUACUUUAUGAAUAAGGAUCGGCUAACUCCGUGACAGCAGCCGCGGUAAUCAGGAGGAUCCGAUCGUUAUCCGGAUUUAUUGGGUUUAAAGGGAGCGUAGAUGGGUUGUUAAGUCAGUUGUGAAAGUUUGCGGCGCAACCGUAAAAUUGCAAUUGAUACUGGCAGCCUUGAGUUCAGUUGAGGUAGGCGGAAUUCGUGGUGUAGCGGUGAAAUGCUUAGAUAUCACGAAGAACUCCGAUUGCGAAGGCAGCCUACUAAACUGCCACUGACAUUGAUGCUCGAAAGUGUGGGUAUCAAACAGGAUUAGAUACCCUUGUAGUC